GACGAACGCUGGCGGCGCGCUUAACACAUGCAAGUCGAGCGAGAACCAGCCCUUCGGGGCUGGGGACAGCGGCGAACGGGUGAGUAACACGUGGGUAAUCUGCCCUCGGCACCGGGAUAGCCCGGGGAAACCCGGAUUAAUACCGGAUGGCCUUUCGAGCCCUCGGGCUUGAGAGAAAAGGUAGCUUUGGCCUCUGGCCGAGGAUGAGCCCGCGGCCGAUUAGCUUGUUGGUGAGGUAANGGCCCACCAAGGCGACGAUCGGUAGCUGGUCUGAGAGGACGAUCAGCCACACUGGGACUGAGACACGGCCCAGACUCCUACGGGAGGCAGCAGUGGGGAAUCUUGCGCAAUGGGCGAAAGCCUGACGCAGCG
rnacentral:rRNA from 1 species